AUUGAACGCUGGCGGCAGGCCUAACACAUGCAAGUCGAGCGGCAGCGGGAAAGUAGCUUGCUACUUUUGCCGGCGAGCGGCGGACGGGUGAGUAAUGCCUGGGAAAUUGCCCAGUCGAGGGGGAUAACAGUUGGAAACGACUGCUAAUACCGCAUACGCCCUACGGGGGAAAGCAGGGGACCUUCGGGCCUUGCGCGAUUGGAUAUGCCCAGGUGUGGAUUAGCUAGUUGGUGAGGUAAUGGAUCACCAAGGCGACGAUCCCUAGCUGGUCUGAGAGGAUGGUCAGCCACACUGGAACUGAGACACGGUCCAGACUCCUACGGGAGGCAGCAGUGGGGAACAUUGCACAAUGGGGGAAACCCUGAUGCAGCCACGCCGCGUGUGUGAAGAAGGCCUUCGGGUUGUAAAGCACUUUCAGCGAGGAGGAAAGGUCAGUAGCUAAUACCUGCUGGCUGUGACGUUACUCGCAGAAGAAGCACCGGCUAACUCCGUGCCAGCCGCCGCGGUAACAC
rnacentral:rRNA from 1 species